rnacentral:rRNA from 1 species
UACAGAGGGUGCGAGCGUUAAUCGGAAUUACUGGGCGUAAAGCGUGCGUAGACGGUAAUGUAAGUCAGAGGUGAAAUCCUGGAGCUCAACUCCAGAACUGCCUUUGAUACUGGAGAGCUUGAGUCCGGGAGAGGUGAGUGGAACUGCGAGUGUAGAGGUGAAAUUCGUAGAUAUUCGCAAGAACACCAGUGGCGAAGGCGGCUCACUGGCCCGGUACUGACGCUGAGGUGCGAAAGCGUGGGGAGCAAACAGG